AUUGAACGCUGGCGGCAGGCCUAACACAUGCAAGUCGAGCGGAGCGGCGGACGGGUGAGUAAUGCCUAGGAAUCUGCCUGGCAGUGGGGGAUAACGUCCGGAAACGGGCGCUAAUACCUCAUCCUAUCAGAUUAGCCUAGGUCGGUUUAGCUAGUUGGUGGGGUAACGGCCUACCAAGGCGACGAUCCGUAACUGGUCUGAGAGGAUGAUCAGUCACACUGGAUCUGAAACACGGUCCAGGCUCCUACGGGAGGCAGCAGUGGGGAAUAGGGGACAAUGGGCGAACACCUGAUCCAGCCAGGCAGCGUGUGUGAAGAAGGUCUUCGGAUUGUAAAGCACUUUAAGUUGGGAAGCGUUACCAACACAAUAAGCACCGGCUAACUUCGUGCCAGCAGCCGCGGUAAUAC
rnacentral:rRNA from 1 species